rnacentral:rRNA from 1 species
GGCGAGCGGCGGACGGGUGAGUAAUGCCUAGGAAUCUGCCUGGUAGUGGGGGAUAACGCUCGGAAACGGACGCUAAUACCGCAUACGUCCUACGGGAGAAAGCAGGGGACCUUCGGGCCUUGCGCUAUCAGAUGAGCCUAGGUCGGAUUAGCUAGUUGGUGAGGUAAUGGCUCACCAAGGCGACGAUCCGUAACUGGUCUGAGAGGAUGAUCAGUCACACUGGAACUGAGACACGGUCCAGACUCCUACGGGAGGCAGCAGUGGGGAAUAUUGGACAAUGGGCGAAAGCCUGAUCCAGCCAUGCCGCGUGUGUGAAGAAGGUCUUCGGAUUGUAAAGCACUUUAAGUUGGGAGGAAGGGCAKUUACCUAAUACGUAAYUGUUUUGACGUUACCGACAGAAUAAGCACCGGCUAACUCUGUGCCAGCAGCCGCGGUAAUACRGAGGGUGCARGCGUUAAUCGGAAUUACUGGGCGUAAAGCGCGCGUAGGUGGUUCGUUAAGUUGGAUGUGAAAUCCCC